CAUUUAAUCUUCACGAAAGCCCUUUGGGGCUUCAGAUCAGAAACAAUAUCAGAGGAUUGCAAAGAUAGAAAGUUGAGGGGUCAGAUGCAAAUGCAGACAGCUUGACCUGUGGUCCAAGGCCUAUGGUCCUAAUCUCCCUCCAUCCUGCCCAGCUUUCUCUCUACUGCUUUCUGUCUACAUCCACCUGGGUGCAAGGAGGCGUGUGCUUCAUCAGCAGUGAGCAAAUAACUGAGUUAAAAAUAACCUUAUCGUUUCUUGCUCUAGUUCUUGAAAGCAGUGGGUAUGAUCAUUUCAUUUUUAAAAGCCCUGUAUUCAGCUUUCUCGGUGCUCAAACAGGCACUGCUGUUUGCUUGCAAGGCACACGCUCCAGGCUUCCCAGAGCUAGAUGUGUGCUGCUCAUCUAAACCAGGAUGACUAUUCUCUUUCCUGUGCAAAUGUCUUUAAUCCAGCAGCUUCCUGCUGGGCUCCAGAAACUCCAAUCGCCCCAUACCUGGGAAGUUUGCUACAGAUGCAUUACAAGAGCCAGAUUUUAAAGUGCCUGCUAUUUGUUUUGCCUCUCACCUCCAAACAUAAUGCUUUGUUUGCAAGACAGUGACUGUUCCACAGCCAGUGAUUCCUCCAUCAUAAACACAUGGAAAAUGACUCUGGGAAUGUGGUGAGCAGCAGGAGACAGGAAUUGUGCUGCCAGCCCUUGCCGUGGGCUGUCCUGGCAUCAGAGCCCAGGCUGCAGGGCACUUGCCUCUCCGCCCACCUCUUGCUGCUCACCCAGGAGGCCCAGGCCAAAGCUUAAACCCAACAAAGGACUUAAACCCACAAAAGGACUUGCAUGUCUGCUUUUAACUCCAGUCCAGCUUUGGAGCUUGCUGUGGCUAUAUGGAAGGUCGGUGCCCAAGCCUGGGCAGGAACUGCCAGCUCCAUACAGGUAUCUGGGUCUGCACCCAGUGGGCGGUCUGUCAGGUGAGAUGAGUCUGCCAUCCUGUCCCAUCCUCGCCUGCAUCUCUGUGCAGCCGCAGUCACAGGCUCUCCAUGGACUGCUCUGGGUACCAGAGGUCUCUUCGGAAUGAUGCCUCCUUUGAAGAUAGCUGCGGGUUAUGUGAACGAAGUGCCAAGGCUGCCGGGAGAGAGAAGAGCCUGACUGGGCACAGAGCCAGGUCAAAAGGCAAAUCUACUGUCUCCAGUCCCUGCAACAAGGAGUGCCCAGAAAGCAGCAGUAAACCUAAGGGAACGGAGAACAUUCUGUAUAUUCUUCCAGGACUCCAUGGAGGCAAGAAUACUGGAGUGGAUGGUCAUUUCUUUCUCCUGGAGAUCGUCCCGACCCAGGGAUCAAACCUGGGUCUCCUGCCCAGACUCUUCUCUAAAUGACUACAGAAUGUCUGACUGAAGAGGCAUCUAAUUACCAGGCCCCCCUGGAGCCCCCAGACCUGGUCUGGCUGUGGGGCUGGUCCAUCCCCCCAACCCCACUCCUCUUCCAGCCCUCCCUUUCUGAUGUGUGGAAUAUAGACCUCCACAGGGGUCUCUCAGGGUUGGACUUCUUGCACCAGCCUGUCUGAGCUGUUAUUCACGCUGAAACCCAGGUUGAGUUAUAGAAUCUGAAGCUCUUUCUGUAAGUUUCAUGAUGGUUCUCAUGGGUUUGCUUAUCCCUCUCAGUCUCUCUGACUCUGG
ensembl:lncRNA